rnacentral:rRNA from 1 species
AGAGUUUGAUCAUGGCUCAGAGUGAACGCUGGCGGCAGGCCUAAUACAUGCAAGUCGAACGGCAGCACAGCAGAGCUUGCUCUGUGGGUGGCGAGUGGCGGACGGGUGAGGAAUACGUGGGAAUCUGCCCAGUCGUGGGGAUAACGUAGGGAACUUACGCUAAUACCGCAUGCGCCCUUCGGGGGAAAGCCGGGGACCUUCGGGCCUGGCGCGAUUGGAUGAGCCCACGUCGGAUUAGCUAGUUGGCGGGGUAAAGGCCCACCAAGGCGACGAUCCGUAGCUGGUCUGAGAGGAUGAUCAGCCACACUGGAACUGAGACACGGUCCAGACUCCUACGGGAGGCAGCAGUAGGGAAUAUUGGACAAUGGGCGCAAGCCUGAUCCAGCCAUGCCGCGUGAGUGAAGAAGGCCCUCGGGUUGUAAAGCUCUUUUGUCCGGAAAGAAAAGCGCCAGGUUAAUACCCUGGUGUCCUGACGGUACCGGAAGAAUAAGCACCGGCUAACUUCGUG